UACGUAGGGGGCAAGCGUUGUCCGGAUUUAUUGGGCGUAAAGAGCUCGUAGGUGGUUCGGUAAGUCGGAUGUGAAAUCUCCAGGCUCAACCUGGAGGGGUCAUUCGAUACUGCCGUGACUAGAGUUCGGUAGGGGAGUGUGGGAUUCCUGGUGGAGCGGUGAAAUGCGCAGAUAUCGAGGAGGAACACCGGUGGCGAAAGGCGGGUCCUCUCGGUCGGAACUG
rnacentral:rRNA from 1 species